rnacentral:lncRNA from 1 species
CUUGAAAAGAGACCAGGGAUAGGCCUACACUUAAAUUUGUUAUUUCUUUAAUACUAUGUCACCUCUUACGAUGCUUGAUUUCCUCUUUAAAUAUUAAUUCUAAAUUUUGCUAGUUUACUCUUUUGUCAUGUUUUAGAAGAUGAGGACCGCCAAGCUUGGAUGAGACUGGAAAAUUACGAAGCUGCUCUAUCUGGACAAAGAUGCCCUCGUCAGACACUUUUCAAUUUGCGGAAUAUUGGAUCAAAACAAAAUCAAAUCGGUCCAAAUUAAAUAACAACGAAAAUCACGUAGUACGUGGAGUUUCUUCUCGCAGCACGGCACUUUGUUUCUACAGGUAGCUACAGGAAAAUUACGAAAAUUACACCGAAAAUCAACGCGGCAAAUAAGUAAAGUGACGAAACAUAGUUUACACGGCUAAAAAAUCACAGGGUUAGUUAGAGAAAUAAUACUUGAUAUCAGUGUUAUUUUUCUUACCUACAAAGUAAAAUAAAUCGAUUGCGGAAGAACGAAAUUAAAGAGACGAAAAUUACAGAAAAAAAAUUAACAGCGGCAGCGAAAGAAAUAAAUAUUUGAAAAUCGGUAAUUUUCUAAACUUCUAGGCCCUAUGCCAUGCAAAAAAUUGCUAAUGAAAAAUGACCGAAAUAAAACAAAAAAAAAUCAAAUUAUAAUCGGCAGCCACUUCCGGUACGGUACUACACUGCUUUAAAAAGUCGUAAAGCGAUAACGUACGAGGCCGACAGUGCUGUUUUAUUGAAGGGGAGAACACGAAAACCAUAACGAAAAAAAGCGUUGCAGUAGUUAAAAAGAUCGGUCUAAUAUAGACUUUCACGAUCAAAUCUUUGUGGGCUACGAGUAUACCGUACUUAACGUAAAUUUCAAAAGAAAGCAUUUCAAGAUAUGCGACAGGUUUAGAGUAACAUAGAAAACUGCUAUUUCCUUGUUGAUUUUAGCCUACGUGUAUAACCCUCCUUCCGUAUAGCACUAUGUUCAAUGUAAGUCCGAUUUGGAAGGGAUCGGCAAGGAAUAAGAUGGCAUUUUGUCAUCUUAAUGUCACGUGAAUUUCUUUUAAUGGUUGUUUAUAGUGUGCGAGUUAUAUGCAGUUUCCAAAGCAACCUGCCAUUAUCAGCGUCGGCACAUUAUGAGUAAUCGUGUCUGUUUUAAAAAGGAAAUAAUGGAAACAUGGCUAGAAUCGUUUGGUUUCCAUUGGGUCCUACCCAUGACCUGGUUAUAGGUAGGCUUAGACAUAAUUAUAUUGGCUAUAUUUGCAAUGUUUCACUUCAGUAACAAAUGGGCUAGGCCCAGUGGUUUCGUAACCCUGUCCACUUAGGAAAGAGUUGCAGCUUUCAUCAAAAAACUGAUAAUCUAAAUGUUGAGACUGCAUGGAUGAGCUAGGCUGCUUUGUCUGGACGAAAAUCAACCCUCCAAGGCUCCAACAGCCUCAUCACACGGAAACUCCAGGAACCGGAAGCAGGAAGGAGGACCGACAGAUGGACGGAUGACCUGUUUGCUGGGCUUCCAUUACUGAUUCUUGAAAGAAAUGAGGACCACUGACUGAUGAGGGAAUUGGCUUACUGAGAUGAGGAUGAGCCUGCCUCAAGCCAUCGUAAGCUGGGAGGACCGACGAUGGACUGACACCGUCUGCUGGCCUGGCCAUUACUGAUUUUUGAGGACAUGAGGACCACUAAGCUUGGACAAGACUGGACAAUGACGAAGCUGCUCUACUGGACAAGGAUGCCCUCAUCGGAAACUUGAGUUAAAAAAACUAGCUUGCACAAUAUGAAAUGAUAAAUCAGACUGCAUAAUGCAACGUCAUUAAUGUUAUACACUAAAGCAACAACACUAAAAUAAAAUGAAAAGUAAUUUUGAUUUCAUUAAAUUAUUUAUGCCUCUAAAAUAAUCUUAAACCGGAUACUGCAACAGACAGUUAACAAUGGACAAUAAUGGAAACUUGCUGAAAUAUUAUUGUAAGAGUAAUAAUUUGUCACUGGCUUUUUAGCAGUGAGAUGUCUGGGAGAAGGGAUGUUCCUUUGAUCUGUCCUGGGUCAUCCAAAAUUUAAAGAAUAAACUGUUCAGGAACUUCUAUCCAUUGCAUUGCAACAGGUAUAAGUGACACUCAAAUUUCAUUUGUGUUUGUCCUUUUGUGAUUUAUUUCAUUGCACUUUUUUUUCACUUGUUAUAUUUUUUACUUCGUAUGCACAAUUGUUUUUCUUUGUGGUUUUGCAUGUCUUUUCAUUUUCUUAUUAAUAAUUAACUAACCUCACAAAAGGAUAAACGAAAUAUAUAUCGAGUGUUGAACUUGCCUCGCAUCAAUUAUUGUUUUCACAUAAUAGCUAAAUUAGACAAAAUAUAGUCCUGAAAUGUUUCAAAAUAAUCUAGGAUAUUUUUUUUUGUAGGGGGGGGGCAUUCCCAGUUUUAUCUUCCCUUUUAAAAAUCUUAUUCACAAAAUGGCGAAAUACAAAAACCUGGCUUUACCGUGCACAGUCAUGUAGGCCUAGUCGUUGCUUAUGUAAUAAUCAUCUAUGAUAUAAAGUUAUUAUUAAUUUCUCAAAUUUAUUGGCCUUCUGCCCAACUUUUUUUCUCAUUUGGAAUCUUUUGUAUUUGUUUGUAUGAAUUGGUUUAAAUAUUUGUAUGUCAAUAAGACUAAGGAAUUAAACAAAAUAAAUAUGUGAGACAAAAUAAAGAUGUGAGACACUUGAUAUCCUU